UAGUUUGAUCCUGGCUCAGGACGAACGCUGGCGGCGCGCUUAACACAUGCAAGUCGAGCGAGAACCGGGCCUUCGGGCCCGGGGACAGCGGCGAACGGGUGAGUAACACGUGAGUAAUCUGCCCUCGGCAUCGGGAUAGCCCGGGGAAACCCGGAUUAAUACCGAAUAGCCUCCGGAGCUUUCGAGCGCCGGAGAAAAGGUAGCUUCGGCCUCUGGCCGAGGAGGAGCUCGCGGCGGAUUAGCUUGUUGGCGGGGUAACGGCCCACCAAGGCGACGAUCCGUAGCUGGUCUGAGAGGACGAUCAGCCACACUGGGACUGAGACACGGCCCAGACUCCUACGGGAGGCAGCAGUGGGGAAUCUUGCGCAAUGGGCGACAGCCUGACGCAGCGACGCCGCGUGCGGGAAGAAGGCCUUCGGGUUGUAAACCGCUUUCAGGAGGGACGAAGCCACUCGGGUGAAUAGCCCAGAGGGUGACGGUACCUCCAGAAGAAGCCCCGGCUAACUACGUGCCAGCAGCCGCGGUAAUACGUAGGGGGCAAGCGUUGUCCGGAUUUAUUGGGCGUAAAGAGCGUGUAGGCGGCCAGGCAGGUCCGCUGUGAAAACUCGAGGCUCAACCUCGAGAUGUCGGUGGAAACCGCCUGGCUAGAGUCCGGAAGAGGAGAGUGGAAUUCCUGGUGUAGCGGUGAAAUGC
rnacentral:rRNA from 1 species